CCCUUAGAUGUUCUGGGCCGCACGCGCGCUACACUGACGGAGUCAACGAGUGGUCCUGCAUCGAAAGGUGUGGGUGCUCUUUGGAAACUUCGUCGUGCUGGGGAUAGAUCUUUGCAAUUAUCGAUCUUGAACGAGGAAUUCCUAGUAAGCGUGAUUCAUCAGAUCGCGUUGAUUACGUCCCUGCCCUUUGUACACACCGCCCGUCGCUACUACCGAUUGAACGGUUUAGUGAGGGCCUCGGAUUGGUCUCGGCCCGCUCUUUACCGGGCGGCGCCGUUGGUCGAGAAGACGCUCGAACUUGAUCGUUUAGAGGAAGUAAAAGUCGUAACA
rnacentral:rRNA from 1 species